AUGAUAAGAUUAGUCCUCAGGUCUAAACUCUAGUUUCCACACAUACAGUAAAGAAUCUUAGCAGUCAAGCUCUAUCUUCAUCUGCAGUUUCUGUCCUUUUCAAAGGACUUAAUUUUGCAUUCACCUCUACUAGCAUCUUUAGGGAAGAAAUUAUCAGCCAAAUUGAAACGGCUAUUUUUCACCUCUCCUGAAGAAAGCAACGACAUUAGAAGACGGACGGCCAAUAUCUUCCACAAGGCAAAACUCCCGAGCCAAAAUAUAAAAGAAGAACGCUUAGCACUCAGAAAUCUGAAACAAAACAAUAUUUUAAUUCUACCAGCAGACAAAGGGAACACCACGGUGGUUACGGAUAAGGAAGACUACUGUAAUAAAAUCAAGACCAUGCUCUCAGAUCACAAAGUUUAUAAAAAGCUUAAAUGCAACCCGACUUCCACUAUAGAGAAGAAAACGAUCUCUUUUCUUAGAAAUGAAGAUUUUCCUCCUCAAACUCUUAAAAAUUUAAUCCCCAAAGAAUCUUUGAUUCCUAGACUCUACGGUCUUUCUAAGAUUCAUAAAGAAUCAGUGCCAUUACGCUUCAUUGUUAACAACAUAGGUGGACCCACCUAUAAUUUAGUUCGCCAAAUCUUACCAAAUUUCUCCAAGAACUUACUGGACUCAAUAAUUCUAAUAUUAAGAAUUUAAUAUAUUUCGUAAAAAAAUCACUAAAAUCAAAAAAACUAAUCCUUGUUGUAAGCUUUGAUAUAGUCUUAUUUACAAAUGUUCAGGACACUUUUAACAUUAUCAGAAAAUCCGACAGAAUUUCUAUGAACCUCCUUCCAUUAAUAGAACACUGUUUAACAUCAACUUAUUUUCAGUUUUAAGGAGAAUUCUUUGAACAAACUUCUGGAGCAGCAAUGGGCUCUCCCAUCUUACCCAUCAUCGCAAAUAUCUUUAUGGAACAUUUUGAAAAUCAAUUGUAAAAAACGCACUUCUCAAAUCUAUAUGGUUCCGAUAUGUUAUGUACACUUUUGUGAUCUGGAGCCAUGGCAGAGCAUAUACUCUUCCUUAAUUUUUUGCCUUUCUCAACUCUCUGCAUCUUAACAUUCAGUUUACAAUGGAAAUAGAACAAAACAAAUCCUUUUUUUAAAUGUAUUGAUUAAAAGGAACGGAGAUGGUAGUUUAAGCCAUCAGGUCUAUCAAAAACCAAUAGCCACAGAUUGAUAUCUUUACGCCACCCCUCAUCAUUAUGCUUCGCAAAAGAAUUCAGUCAUUAGUUCACUGGUAUAUAGAGUCCUUACAAUUUCUGAACCACCUUUUUUGAAUGGGGAAUUAGAACAUCUUAAUCAUGUUUUAACAAAAUAUGGAUAUAGUAGUAGAAACAUCAGUUAAACAGUCCAAAGAUGGAAGAACAAAAUUUUUAGUCUUAACAACAUUGGGACGCCGAAUAAAGAAAAAGAAAGAGAAGAGAACAAGAUAGCUUUCUUUUUGUAUUUUCAAGUUACUUUUUAAUCCAAAGGAUCAGAGACCACGCUUAGAAUCACUAGGUGUAUACAAAAUUCCUGCUCUUACGGAAAAGUGUACAUAGGAGAAACUAGGAGGAAGAUUAGUACACGAAUCAAAGAACAUCAACGGUGUACCAAAUAUGGUCAUUUUUCUCAAUCAGCCUUAACCGAACACUGGAUGGAGACGGGACACUCCGUGCAAUACGAAAAAGCUACUAUGCUAGCGUUUUCUCAAGGUUACUUUGCUAGGAAACAUCGUGAAAGUCUAGAAAUUUUGAAACAUCUUGAUAAUUUUAACCGUAAUAAAGGUUAUCAGAUAAGCCCGAUUUGGCACACUGUCCUUCCGGUUUUAAUUGAUCAAUUAAAAACAUUUUCGAACACCACAUAUUAAUUAGCAAAUAAUAAGCCAAUAUUGUAUUAAGAUUGGCCAACAUUUGACCAAUGAAAUGUGUUACUAUUGGACGAAUAACUCCGUUUUCUCCCUUCACCCACAUCCCUACCAUCAGGACAAGGGGUAUAUAAAGACGGUUACAAUCUAAGACAGCUUAGUAUCGAAACUUCUAGCCCUGAUGAUGCAAACUGCAACGUUUGCGAAACGUCGGCGCAACGCUGUACCGGGACACGGCAUGUAUCCGGAAGCUCUUUCUAUUAGAAGCAACGUCAAUGGCCGUGAAAGCUUUAAGUCUAAAAUCUUUAAAGUCCUAAUAUUUUACCUUUUUAUUUCAUCCUUUUUUCCCACACUCAUUAUCUCCCUUUCUCACUUUCUAAUCUCUUUCCUUUUUUUUAAUGAAAUGAUAAAGAUAUUAUUAUAUGA
rnacentral:lncRNA from 1 species